ACCCCCAAUGUAAUUCUGUAUAAACUCAUGAAUAUUAUUUUGGAUGGUAAAGCUUCAGUGAGUUUUAUAAUGGUUGAUUCUCAACUAUAAACAUGAAUUAUCCAGAUCAUUUAAAAUAUUAAACAAACUUCCUUCUAGAAUAUGCUUUUAGGCAUCUUCUCUUGACCAUCAAGUUUGUGUAUGUUCAAGGAUACAAACUUUCUAAAGGCUUAAAUUUUUGCAUUUUUAGGAAAUGAUGCAAAAUGAAUCAUAUAGUAUACUUUGUAACCAAAUAACGUUUUUAUUAUACAUACUUCUGUCAUAUUAUUUCUAUUGCUAUUUUUUUAGGCAGGAAAUAUUAAAAAGUGAAUAAACUUUUUCUGUCGUAAUAUAUUAAUGAUUUCUUCAACAAGGAAUAUGGCCUAUGAGUAAUUACAAAUCCUCAUUACUAUGAAUUUGCUAUAUUUAUAUAUUGCUUCACAGUUUAGAAAUUACUUUUAUAUCAAUUGCCUUAUUUGUUACUUAGCAGCAACCUAAGGUUAUUUUGAAUAAGGUGUGCAGGGGUCAUUAUCUCUAGUUUGUAGAAGAAUAAACUGAGGUUCAGAAAGGUUGUGACUUUCUCAGGGAAACAAUAGCUAUUAAAUGGUGGAGAGGGAACUAAAGUUCUAGUUGUCUAUAUUUUUUUAAUUCCUUUUUUUUUUUUUGAGACCAGAUCUUGCUCUUUUUUUUGAGACCGGAGUGCAGUGGCACAAUCAGUGCAGGCUUGACCUCCUGGGCUCAAGUGAUCCUCCUGCCUAAGCCUCAUGAGUAGCUGGGAUCACAGGUGUGUGCCACUAUGCCCAGAUGAUUUUCAAAAAUUAUUUGUAGAAACAGGGUCUACCUAUGUUGCCCAAACUGGUCUCAAACUCCUGGGUUCAAGUGAUCCUUCCACCAAAGCCUCCCAAAGUGCUGGGAUUACAGGUGUGAGCCACUGCACUGGCUUAAAGCUCUAGUUUUUUUUUCUUUUUUUUGAGAUGGAGUCUCACUCUGUCACCCAGGCUGGAGUGCAGUGGCGCGAUCUUGGCUCACCAUGGCCUCCGCCUCCCCAAUUCAAGCGCUUCUCCUGCCUCAGCCUCCCGAGUAGCUGGGAUUACAGGCGUGUGCCACCAUGCCUGGCUAAUUUUUCUGUGUUUAGUAGAGAAGGAGUUUUGCCAUGUUGGCUGGUCUCAAACUUCUGGCCUCAAGCGAUCGGCCCGCCUCGGCCUCCCAGAGUGCUGAGAUUUACAGGCGUGAGCCACUGUGCCUGGCCAGGCUCUAGUUUUUUAAAAGACAUUUUAUCAUGGAAAAUUUCAAACAUGUAUAGAUUAAACAGAAUACUGUACACCUAUGUACCCAUCACUCAGCCACGACAAUUAUUGAUAUCCCACCAUUCUUAUAUCAUCUAUACAUCCACCAACUCUCAGCCCCACGUGAUGAUAAUGAUGGUGAUUUUUAAAAAUUUUUAAGAAGUUUACCUAUACUGAAAGCACUAGUCUUAGCUAUACAGUCUUGACAAAUGGUUAUACCUAUGUAACUCAUACGCCUAUCAUGAUAGUUCUGUCUCUCCAAAAAAAAUUCCUGUAUGUCCUUUUGCUGUCAACUCCCCAUCCUGCCCAGACCAGGGCUGUUUUGACUUUUUUUUUUUUCCACUGGAGACUACUUUUGCUUGUUCUUGAACUUCUUAUGAAUCAAAUCUCUCUGUAUGUGUUCUUUUGUGUGUGGCUUCUUUUAUUCAGAUUCAAGUCUGUAAACGUCUGGUUUUUUUUAAUCAGGAAUAUAAUACUAUUUGUUGAGUCUGGAG
rnacentral:lncRNA from 1 species